rnacentral:rRNA from 1 species
UACGGAGGGUGCAAGCGUUAUCCGGAUUCACUGGGUUUAAAGGGUGCGUAGGCGGGUUUGUAAGUCAGUGGUGAAAUCCCCGAGCUUAACUUGGGAACUGCCAUUGAUACUGCAGAUCUUGAAUUUUCUGGAGGUAAGCGGAAUAUGUCAUGUAGCGGUGAAAUGCUUAGAUAUGACAUAGAACACCCAUUGCGAAGGCAGCUUACUACGGGAAUAUUGACGCUGAGGCACGAAAGCGUGGGGAUCAAAC